UAUAUAUAUAUAUAGUAAAAGUGGGAGGACCUUUCUCAAUUUCCCUUUGCUGUAAAAUCCAACUCAAUGCAAAAACUAAUCACCCCACGAGGAGGUCCCAUCAUCACUAACCGUCCAACGCAAAACUGGACGAUCACGGGACGGGUGCACCACUGCAACUGUCCUGGUCCCUCUUAGGACAGGCAAAAUGGUCUCGGCUCUUUAGCCGAGCCGAGCCGGGUUUAGUGAGUUGGUUGGUGGGGCCCAGCGUGCGGAGGGAGGCUCAGAACCCACGUUGCCCCCUACAGAGGCUCUGCUGUCGCUUUCUGGUCAAAAAGCACGCAAGUUGGAGACAGCUGCCAUCAAUAUUUUAAUCAUUUAAACAAUAUAAAAAAU
rnacentral:lncRNA from 1 species